rnacentral:rRNA from 1 species
AGAGUUUGAUCCUGGCUCAGGAUGAACGCUAGCGGCAGGCUUAACACAUGCAAGUCGAGGGGUAACGGGGAAGCUUGCUUCCGCCGACGACCGGCGCACGGGUGCGUAACGCGUAUACAAUCUACCUUAUACUGGGGUAUAGCCUUUAGAAAUGAAGAUUAACCCCCCAUAGUCUCUUAGAGUGGCAUCACUUCUAGAGUAAAGGUUACGGUAUAAGAUGAGUAUGCGUUCUAUUAGUUUGUUGGUGUGGUAACGGCACACCAAGACUACGAUAGAUAGGGGCCCUGAGAGGGGGAUCCCCCACACUGGUACUGAGACACGGACCAGACUCCUACGGGAGGCAGCAGUGAGGAAUAUUGGACAAUGGAGGCAACUCUGAUCCAGCCAUGCCGCGUGCAGGAAGACUGCCCUAUGGGUUGUAAACUGCUUUUAUACAGGAAGAAACACCUCUACGUGUAGAGGCUUGACGGUACUGUAAGAAUAAGGAUCGGCUAACUCCGUGCCAGCAGCCGCGGUAAUACGGAGGAUCCAAGCGUUAUCCGGAAUCAUUGGGUUUAAAGGGUCCGUAGGUGGAUAAUUAAGUCAGAGGUGAAAUCUUGCAGCUCAACUGUAAAAUUGCCUUUGAAACUGGUUAUCUUGAGUUAUUAUGAAGUAGUUAGAAUAUGUAGUGUAGCGGUGAAAUGCAUAGAUAUUACAUAGAAUACCAAUUGCGAAGGCAGAUUACUAAUAAUCAACUGACACUGAUGGACGAAAGCGUGGGUAGCGAACAGGAUUAGAUACCCUGGUAGUCCACGCCGUAAACGAUGGUUACUAGCUGUUUGGACUUCGGUCUGAGUGGCUAAGCGAAAGUGAUAAGUAACCCACCUGGGGAGUACGUUCGCAAGAAUGAAACUCAAAGGAAUUGACGGGGGCCCGCACAAGCGGUGGAGCAUGUGGUUUAAUUCGAUGAUACGCGAGGAACCUUACCAGGGCUUAAAUGUAAGUUGCAUUAGUUAGAGAUAGCUAUUUCUUCGGACCACUUACAAGGUGCUGCAUGGUUGUCGUCAGCUCGUGCCGUGAGGUGUCAGGUUAAGUCCUAUAACGAGCGCAACCCCUGUUGUUAGUUGCCAGCGAGUCAUGUCGGGAACUCUAGCAAGACUGCCAGUGCAAACUGUGAGGAAGGUGGGGAUGACGUCAAAUCAUCACGGCCCUUACGUCCUGGGCUACACACGUGCUACAAUGGUAGGUACAGAGAGCAGCCACUGCGCGAGCAGGAGCGAAUCUACAAAACCUAUCACAGUUCGGAUCGGAGUCUGCAACUCGACUCCGUGAAGCUGGAAUCGCUAGUAAUCGGAUAUCAGCCAUGAUCCGGUGAAUACGUUCCCGGGCCUUGUACACACCGCCCGUCAAGCCAUGGAAGUUGGAAGUGCCUGAAGUCCGUCACCGCAAGGAGCGGCCUAGGGUAAAGUCGAUAACUAGGGCUAAGUCGUAACAAGGUA